GACGAACGCUGGCGGCGUGCUUAACACAUGCAAGUCGUAGGGAAAGCCCUUGUUGUUGUGGCGUGCUCGAGUGGCGAACGGGUGAGUAAGACGUGAGUAACCUGCCCUUGAAUUUGGGAUAGCUUCAGGAAACUGGGGCUAAUACCGGAUGUGAGCUCCUGCUGCAUGGAGGCGGUUGGAAAGUUUCGGUGCAUGGGGACGGACCCGCGGGUUAUCAGCUUGGUGGUGGGGUAGUGGCCUACCAAGGCUUUGGCGGGUAGGCCGCCUGAGAGGGUGAGCGGCGCCAUUGGGACUGUGAGACGGCCCAGACUCCUACGGGAGGCAGAAGUGGGGAAUAUUGUGCAAUGGGCGGAAGACUGAUGCAGAGACGCCGCGUGCGGGAUAACGGGCUUCGGGUUGUAAAAAGCUUUCGCCUGUGACGAAGAGUGAGUGACGGUAAUGGGUAAAGAAGCACCGGCUAACUACGUG
rnacentral:rRNA from 1 species